rnacentral:rRNA from 1 species
CCUACGGGAGGCAGCAGUGGGGGAUAUUGCACAAUGGGGGAAACCCUGAUGCAGCGACGUCGCGUGGGCGAUGAAGUAUCUCGGUAUGUUAAGCUCUUUUAGUAGGGAAGUAGACAUGACGGUAUCUGCGUAAGAAGCACUGGCUAAAUACGGGCGAGCAGCCGCGGGAAUACGUAGGGUGCAAGCGUUAUCCGGAUUUACUGGGUGUAAAGGGAGCGCAGGCGGCAAGGCAAGCCUGGUGUGAAUGCUCGCGGCGCAACCGGGGAACUGCAUUGGAUACUAGCGGGCGGGAGUGCAGUUGAGGGAGGCGGAAUUCGUGGUGUAGCGGUGAAAUGCUUAGAUAUCAGGAAGAACACCGGUUGCGAAGGCAGCUUACUAAA